AAAGAAAGCUUACGAGUCAGAGGAUGAUACUCAUUAGUACAUUUCAAGAAUUAAAGAUAAUACGAGAAGAAAAAAGCAGACCUGCAAACCUGCUAUCCUUCUUUAUUUAUUCUGAAUUAGUUCCAGGAUUUGCAAAGACUCUUCUGUUUACUUCUCUCAUGAGAAAUGCAAGUUAAUCCAUUAAAAACAAAACAAACUAACACAAACAUUAUGGAACAGAUGACCCAUAAUAAAAAUUCUGGAAACACAGAGCACUUGUCAUGGUUUGCAGUUCAUUCCAGAACAUGACCAGCACUGGAAGAAGUAACUAUUACUUCCUUAAUUCUUAAUAUUCAGUGAACGUAUACAUUUUCUAGCCAGCUGGCCAGCAGAAUAAACAAUGUCUAAUUUUAAGGAAUUAAUCAGCUAAAUCAGUAUAAAUGAAAGAAAGAAAAAAAUAGUACAAGGAAAUGGAAACCUACAAAGCUUUUGCUGUUUAUCAUCAAAACUUUGCAACCAAGUAUAGAUAUCCCAUCCAACAGGAUCGGGCAUCUUAAUCUUCUUCUGUCAUCUCAUAAAGCUUCUUAAUAUUUUGGUCAGUCUAGGGGAAGUAGGGGUUGCCACGAUAAGACAUCUUCAGUGUCACAGCUCAUGACUGAAGUUCUUGAUUAGUACAAAAUACAGGUCAGCAGAGGAGGGAAUACAUUUACGUUCCCCUCUUCCUUCCUGCAACUAUUAAAAUUUCCACAGUGGAAGUAACCCAGCACUUGUCAGCCUAGCUGAAUUCAUGACAAUGAAGUUUUUGAUGCUAAAAUAGGGUAAACCAGACUUCCAUCAGAUUCAAACCACACUUCAGUCCUAUGCCUGACUGUGACAGGACACGUAUUAUUCUUGUCUUCCUUCCCUGUCCUCACAGGAAUAUGCACAAAGAUGAAGCAAAAUUGAAAGGUGACAAGCAUGGCUGCAGAGCACAUCACUUGUACACGCAGACUCUGAAACUCUGUCUCCAGUGAGCCUGUGUCUUCUAGAGCACUAGAAGAGUGUUCUCCUCUAGCACUCUACUGUUAUUUUGGACUCCACUUUUAUCACAAAACUUAAGAGAGUUCCAGCUUUGUAUCUCACAAACCUGACUACCCAAAAUGCAGGGCCUCAUCCAAUACCUAGGGGAGAGACACUGCCCCUGUACUCUAAGAGUUAAGUCGGGGCAAAUCGAAGCACCAUAAGCAAUCGUCACCUGUCCGCAGUUACACAAGAGCUUCUGCACACAGAGGUAUCAGUGGCCACCUGUCACUUUAUCAGUGACAAUCAAGCCACAUGCAACCUAGAAAUUCCCAGUCUAGCCCCAUUAACUCCAGGCUGCACAGGAUUCCCAGCAGAGCCUCUCACAGAAGUCCACGUCUUCAAGUCCAGGUCACGGAAACCUCCGUUCAACCUCAGCCAGCCCUUCACCUGACCAGCUCCUAAUGUGCUCCACGAGUGGCACUGGGUGUAACCGCCCAGGAAAUGCGGCACAGAGAGCAUCAGCUGCCUGCCCCAAAUUCACUCUGCAGAACUGAGCGCUGCCUUUGGGCAGAGGUCACCUGUGUCCCAGGAGCGCAGCACGCUGCUGCAGAACAGACCAGAGUGGAAGACGUGUUAGUACCACCAGCAGCCCUCAGCAGAAGCCCUCCCACGCCAGCCUUCGCACCAGGCAGCACUCCCCGCAGGGACAUCCACCCAACACUUUGGGAACAGCUGUCCACCACACCCAGAGCAUCCCCCUCCCGGCACUGCUUCCCUCUCGGGACAGGAGUGGGCGGGAAGGACGGCCUCUCACCUGGAGGAGCACGGCCAGCAGGACGCACAGGUACACCUGAGAUGCACUGCUAAACCUACAAGCAAAUAGUCAAGAGGUGAGAACCACAGAUCUGCCCAAGGGGAGGACAGGAAAAGUAAGAAUCAGCCAGCAUGGAUGAAACACCUCCCAGGAAAGGGAAUGCAACACUUGAGCUGGAACCUUUCUGAUUCUUACCCAGUGAUCACGUGGCAAUAUAGAAGAGGAUGACUGCCUGCAAUCCUGUGAGAUCUACAGCAAGAAUGAGACUACAUGGAAAGAAAGCAGCUUGCAGAAAUGGUGGAGGGGUAGUCUGCUUGAAGUCUCAAAAUUAUGUGCCCUAGCCUGCAAGGAAGUGUUCCUGCUUUGAUUUUUUAUCAUCAUUGGUUAUGGAGCGCAUGAACACAGAAGUCAAAGCUAUCCCUUUCACAUCUCACCGUAGUAAAAUGUUAAGUAGUGAGUAAGAUACAAUUGUUGUGGGUAAACACACCCUUACCCCCAUGAUAUAGGGAAGACUGCAAUAUAUUUGGUGAGUACAGUAGCCCCAGUGCAAUAAGAACUGAGAGAGCUUCUUUUAGGGAAGUUACAAUGUAUUGGUGCUUAUACAAACAUACCACACAGAAUAAACAUAGGCAGAGGAAGAAACAUCAACAACAAAACUCUCAGUGAGCCUCACUAAAGAUCCUGCAGGUGAUCCUACCUGUGAACUGAGAGAAUUCCAGCCUGCCUAAAGACACAAACCCAGAGAAAACUCAGGGAAAGAGUAACAUGGGCUGCUUAACUGAACAAAAAGCAGCAUCAAAACAAUGGCUGAUGUGGAAGAACAUGUGUAUUUUCCAGAGCUAGUUUUCAUUAAGCAGGAAAGCCAAAUAAUAAAUCAUAAUCCAGGCCACAUCCCACAGAAACAAUUCAAGAGACAAGGUGGAUAACAUACAGGUCAUGAGCAGGUGUGGAAGAUGCUGCAGAAACAGCACCAUUUCACUUCCCAUUGGGAUCUCUUCUGCAGAGGGAAAGCACUGCUGUAUAAUGGAUGGUAAGGUACAUGACACAGACUUCCAGUGCAAAGGAUUUCUGUCGUGUGACAACAGAGCCAGGGAGAUUCACAUAUGUGAGGCACAUCUCUGAAGGCUGCCAUUCAGUUACCAUUGUAGUAACUCUGCUCUAAGGUCAAUGACCAAUGCGAUUUCUGCGGGACUGCUGAUCCAACUGCCAUGCAAUACUAAGAAAAAUGAUAAGCAGGAAAAUGAGCUGGGAGAAAUACAUCUGUGUGCUGAUUGUGCAUUGGCCAGUGGAAGGUAAAUGCAAUUCACAGUAGAAAAUGCAUUAUUCUGUACAGCAACCUAUUAUGUGCCUGAAACAGCUAAAUAUCCUGAUCUCAGGAAAGAUUCAAAGAAAGCAACAUGCUUUAGAAGAGUCAAGAGCAGACCGACAACAGCAGGCAGAAUUUCAGUAUUGAUGUAUGCAGUGUACUAAAGCAAGGUUACCUGGGUGCCAACAUUUCCCUGAAGGUUAUAGACAUGAUGACUUAAUUGUCUCUCUAGAUCUACUGCAACAGCAUUGGGCCAUUUCUCCUGAUAAGUUGGCUCCUUCCAUUCUCCUGGAAAGCUGGCUGCUUUUUAUUGCUAUGGAGUUGACCAAACAGGAUGUGCCUGACAGUACCAACACAAUACGUGUCCAGGAGCAACAUGAUAAGGGCUGCUCUGCUAAGGAGGGCAGGCAGGAAGCUGAGUGUGACCUCAACAUAGGCAGAACAGCACCUUUACCCACAUGGUCUCAAAGGAGCAGGGCAGAGCAAUGACAGUCCACUGGCUGUCCUAAACAAGAUGAAGGGAAGUCCAAGAGCUUAAUCAGAAGCUCUAAGAGAUGGGGUCAGAGCUCGGGCAAAGCUGGUUACAACAGGUCUGGAAAACCAGCCAGUAAGGCAGGAUAAGGCAGAGGUACAGCUCAGUCUAGAUCUGGGCAUCUGUGCCCUGAGCUUACCUUGGGGUCUGUGGUAGACAGCCUAACAAAGGCUGUGUGAGAUGCUGGCACUCAGUUUAUUGUAUGGUAUCUUGGGGGAAUGCCAGAACAUCCUUGUCAUAUGUGAAGAUGAAGAGAUUAUUGUACAUCUUAUCCAGCUCUGUACCAAAAUAUUUCAAGAAGGUGAAAGCCCUUCAAGACUAAGAUGAAGUUAGGUAGUAACCCCUUUGUGCCAUCUGUGAGACUAAUGAAGCUGAGAGUUUUGCUGGCCUUGGCUAUAAAGCCAGAAAAUAAUGAAGAACAUCUAUAGAUGUUUUCUGACAACAUGAAGAGAAAAAGACAGUGGCAAGAAGAUUCCUGGCUGUAUGACAAAAAUGAAGUAUCCAGUCUGUUGCAAUUCAUGUUCAUACACAGCAUUAAAAUUAUAAUUUCUGCAAAUGGUUGGACUAUUAGAAACUGAGAUACAUUAAGGAUGUGAUGGAAAUCAAGAACCUUAUGAGAAGAUGCAAGAAUCAGACCUCACACUCGGUUUCAAGUGCAAAUCUAGGUCUAUAAUUAAAUCAAAUAUACUUCAUGUCAUCAGUACAGACCUAAGUCUGCCUUCACUGUGGGCAAUGGGAGACACACAGUUACCAGCCUGAGGCUGCCACCAUGAUUCACAUGUACCAUCACAGUGACCCUGCAUGAACAGUGUUGGGCAGAAAAGACCUCUGUUUGGUCCUCACAGUGCCACACACCACAAGGGUCCCUGGUAACUGUGAUCAGAGAAAUCAUAGUGUGAUGGUGGACAUGGAACAGGGUGAAAGGAAUGCACCACUUUGCAAAAACCUUUCAGUUUUUGCUCAUUUCCCAAAACAGAAUAUACCACCAAAGGGAAUGCAAGAGAACCAGCAGACAGCACACCUAAAGAGACAAGAGCCAUGUCCAGAAAUGGGUGCACUUGUAAGUAGCCUCUGCCAUCAGCUUACUUGGUUGGGAGUUGGGGAGAAAAAGCUGUGGGAGCAGCAAGAAGGAUCAGCUAAAUGGAUGCAGCAAGAGGAAGGAAAACAUCCAUAUGAGAACAGGAAUAGUGCAAACAAUGAGUAGGAGAGAGAUCCAAAGUCUGGCAGAUUUGAAAGGCAGCAAUAAAUGUUCUUCUAGAUGGGUCUGUGUGUUGGUAACUGCAGGGUUUGGCAAGGCAGCAAACAUUCAAACAAAACAGACCAACAAAAGCAGCUAAAAAGCAAGAAACAGCAAGUUGUGUGGGCCGUGGAGCUGUGAGUGCAGGCUUGGAGCAGGCUGGGCGUUGGAGAAUUCACUAGGAGGUCUGUCCAGCCAGAUGCAGACACAAUGACUGUUGUUGCUGCAAUGCCUCUAAAACAGCUGGUGUUGGUGAAGCACAGGUUUAGUCUUAGAAACAUUGCACUUUUCUUUGCUGUGGUUCCUACUAAGCAGUGCAUGAAGCCAUAUCUAAAGCUACAGUCCAAGCUGAACACACUGCCAGUGCCCCAGAGACAUUUAAGGCUCUUUUCCUGCCUUGUAGGAAAAGACUCCAUCAGCUCCAGAAGAGCGCAUGUGUCUAGAAGAACCCCAGGUCCAAACCAUACCAGGAUCCCUGAUUUUCCAAUUGUUUUGGUGGUUAGGCUGCUGAGGGUGAGCAAAGAGUGUGAUAAGACACAGUGGAACAUCUGACAUGAAGCCCGUCUCCAAUUCUUUCAAAACAAAUAGCAUGCAAAAAAGGAGCAGGUUUUUACCAGCCUUGGUUUGCAGCCAAUAUGGGCACAUGGUUAGCUUUAGCAGGACUGGACAGCAUAUGGCACAGCGACCUGGCUUGUUGUGAAUAAUGGAGUAUAAUAAAACCUGUCAAACUGCUAUUGGCAGCUAGGGUGAGGAAAAGUCUCAGUGCACAAACAAUUUGAGAAAACCUACUUGUCACUGCCAUGCAAAAUAUUUUAUGGCAGUAAAUAUACAUCAUAAAGCGCCUCUCAGACCUGGGUGUUUUAUCCUCAGUCCCUGAAGUUCUGCAGGAAUCCAGCACAACCGUGGGCAUAGCAAAGUGAGGAAUGCUAACAGCUGGGAGAAACAAAAAGCAGGUGCACAAGAAGGUGAAGAAGAUAAAGAGCCAAGGUCUAGAAGCAAGAACAGCACGAGGAGUUAGAAGCGGCAGUAGGAACACAGAGGAGUGUUAUGGCCACCAGCAAGUGUGUUGGCUGAGAAACACAAGGGGGCUGCCUGUUGGCCAGGAUGGCAGAGAAGGAAAUGGUGUGUACUCAAGGCAGGCAAAGGGAGGAGGAGGCAGGAUCCUGUUGGAGAGGGCAGCACUGUCUGGCUCUAGGUUGGAGAAGGACUUUGUGGCUGAUGGGAGGGCUGCAUUUUGUGUGCUAAAGCUUGAAGCCAAGGAAUCAACAGGGGAAUUUCUUUGUUGUUCCAUCCACACAACAAGAAGGGAAAUGUGGGAUGGGGAAAACGCAGCUCUUUACCUAUAAAUGUUCAGCCAGUGCCUCGCCCCCACAGCAUCUCUGCAGAGCAUGUGGGGCCAUGAGCUAGGCUUGCAAGGACAAAUCCAGGUGACAUGCAAGGACUCCAAGCCCCAAUUCCAUCCCCGACCUUGGAGGACUGAACAGAAUUCUGCCAGAGCAAUGCAGGUCAGAAUUAACCUUGAAUUUUUGUGUCUUGAGUCAUCAGCCUGAGCUUAAUUUUAGGCUGCAUCUCUGGAGAAAAGUGAGUAUUGCAAGGCUUAAGGGCAGCUCAGUCUGGGCUUCUUUGUGCCCUGCAGUGCUGUUCUCCCUCUAGCCUUGGAUUUGUCUGGUUUCUGGAAUUGUACUGCUCUGCAAGAGCAUAAUGGGGAAGUAGAAGCACUGCUUAGUCAUUAUAUCCUGCCAUUUCAAGAAUCAGUCUUGCUUUGUUUGUUUGUUUUUUUAAAAGAAAACACUAAAAGUAAUUCCCUUAUAGACUUAAAUUCCUUAAAAUAUUGCUACUGCUGCUUGGGGUGCCUUGUUUGUAGUAUCAAUGGCCUGCCUUCGCUGCACUAAAUGCACUUACGUGGGAGCAAUAGCAACAAUCUGGAAUCCAGAAAGUCUACAAACAGGCAGGCCUGUUUUAAUUAGUUGAGUACAGAGACUAAUUAAUAUGCAAAUGAGGAGCUUACCAAUAUUAAUCAUCUGUUUUACUAGGCUGCUUUACCAAAGAGUUCUAACGAAUUUGCAGAUGAAGUUUCCAUGACAUUAAAAAUCAGCUAAACGCUUACCUGAGAAAUAGUCUCCCACAAUAAAGGGGAAAGAGAGAAGGGGAAAGUGAUGCUUUGGUUUUUUGGAAGGAAAACUUCAAUGACUGAAACUAAUUUUGUCUUUGGCAAGUGUCACAUAGGCUGACUGAGUCAACUGCUUCCAAACCCUAAUUGAAAGCAUUUCAGCAAGCGAGACACCAAAAGGCGCUUGGACAGUAGCAGCACACACAUGUCCAUGUGUGCAUAUUUCCUUCUGAGAAUUGACUAAAAAAUUGCAUGAUUGACUAAAAAAUUACUGUCUACCUUUGACAUCUCUCAAUAGCUGUCAACACUGUGGAGCAUAACCCCAAAGUAAGAUCACACUGGGUUGUACCUUCUGUGUAUUUUCCUAUCUCUGUUCUUGUUACCAACGCCUUAGAACAUGGUAACUGAAAUCCUGCCCCUGAGCUACACCACUCUUUCCUCUGUUACCUUUACAUUUUGCACUUCACUGAGCUUCUGGGUGGGUUUGGUGGAGCUUCUUGUCAAAUUCACUCUCUGAUUUUCAUACUUUAGUUCAAUGCAAUUGCAUAUGGGUUCCCCUCACUGCC